UACGUAGGGGGCAAGCGUUGUCCGGAUUCAUUGGGCGUAAAGAGCGUGUAGGCGGCCAGGUAGGUCUGCUGUGAAAACUCGAGGCUCAACCUCGAGCUGUCGGCGGAAACUGUCUGGCUAGAGUCCGGAAGAGGAGAGUGGAAUUCCUGGUGUAGCGGUGAAAUGCGCAGAUAUCAGGAAGAACACCUAUGGCGAAGGCAGCUCUCUGGGACGGUACUGACGCUGAGACGCGAAAGCGUGGGGAGCGAACAGG
rnacentral:rRNA from 1 species